rnacentral:rRNA from 1 species
GACGAAUGCUGGCGGCGUGCUUAACACAUGCAAGUCGAACGGAAAGGCCCUGCUUGCAGGGUACUCGAGUGGCGAACGGGUGAGUAACACGUGGGUGAUCUGCCCUGCACUUCGGGAUAAGCCUGGGAAACUGGGUCUAAUACCGGAUAGGAGCCAUUUUUAGUGUGAUGGUUGGAAAGUUUUUUCGGUGUAGGAUGAGCUCGCGGCCUAUCAGCUUGUUGGUGGGGUAAUGGCCUACCAAGGCGGCGACGGGUAGCCGGCCUGAGAGGGUGGACGGCCACAUUGGGACUGAGAGACGGCCCAGACUCCUACGGGAGGCAGCAGUGGGGAAUAUUGCACAAUGGGCGCAAGCCUGAUGCAGCGACGCCGCGUGGGGGAUGACGGCCUUCGGGUUGUAAACUCCUUUCGCUAGGGACGAAGCUUUUGUGACGGUACCUAGAUAAGAAGCACCGGCUAACUACGUG